AACUCCUAUAAAAUUUCAUCGAAUCGCUUCGAUCCAAAAUUAGCCAAAAAUUCCUGAGGAUGUAACGAACAAUUUGUAAAAAGAAUUUUGUCGCUAUCUUUUUUUUGUUACGAAGGAGAUGCACACAGAUGAUAAACAGUGAAUAGGGAGAUAACUCUUACAAAGAAAAUGGUUCGGCUUAGCAGGGUGAAAUUUAAAAGCGCAUAAACUAUACGAUACCAUAUGAGAAAUAUCUAAGCGACAUAUUGCGAAACAAACAUUUAUCGCAAGAACAAAAUUUGGCGGAAGAAAAAAAAAAAAAUAAUAAUCAGAAGAAA
rnacentral:lncRNA from 1 species